rnacentral:rRNA from 1 species
ACGGAGGGUGCGAGCGUUGUCCGGAAUUAUUGGGCGUAAAGCGCACGUAGGCGGUCCGUUAAGUCUCUUGGUGAAAGGCUGGGGCUCAACCCUAUGCAUGCCGGGGAUACUGGGGGACUGGAGACAGGUAGAGGCGAGCGGAAUUCCGGGUGUAGCGGUGGAAUGCGUAGAGAUCCGGAAGAACACCGGAGGCGAAGGCGGCUCGCUGGACCUGAUCUGACGCUGAGGUGCGAAAGCGUGGGGAGCGAACAGGA